CAUAUAUUUUUGAAUAGGAAGUUGAUAUUUUCUUAUAGAGUGCAUCAACUUCUUCUCCUGAAGUUGUUGGGUUGCAACCACAGGGGGGAGAAGGCCACGCAGGUAGUGGGCAUCCCUCUCUUUCUCAGUGAAGGCAAGUCCUUUGUUAUGGCGUGGAUCCCUCAACAGCGAGUAUCCACUAGCAACGGAGAUAGUCCAGGGAGUGACGAGCUGAUCCUCGGUGGCGCAAUCCUCGCCGUAAACGUCCUCAACGCCACCGCCAACGGUAUUCUUGGGAUCCAUAUCGAGGACGGAGGCUCCGCCCCUUAUGUUCUUCAUUGUGCUCUCCAUUCUAAUGAAGCGUUGACUUCGUGUGACGAAGCAAAUGCAGCUAUGGAUCUGAAACUAGUGAGCAAGAAAUAGAGAGAAGAGAAGAGAAGAGAAGAGGAGA
rnacentral:misc_RNA from 1 species